rnacentral:rRNA from 1 species
GUGAGGAAUAUUGGACAAUGGGCGCAAGCCUGAUCCAGCCAUGCCGCGUGCAGGAAGACGCAUCUAUGGUGUGUAAACUGCUUUUGUACGGGAAGAAACACUCCCUCGUGAGGGAGCUUGACGGUACCGUAAGAAUAGGGAUCGGCUAACUCCGUGCCAGCAGCCGCGGUAAUACGGAGGAUCCAAGCGUUAUCCGGAAUCAUUGGGUUUAAAGGGUCCGUAGGCGGUUUAAUAAGUCAGUGGUGAAAGCCCAUCGCUCAACGAUGGAACGGCCAUUGAUACUGUUAGACUUGAAUUACAAGGAAGUAACUAGAAUAUGUAGUGUAGCGGUGAAAUGCUUAGAUAUUACAUGGAAUACCAAUUGCGAAGGCAGGUUACUACUUGUGGAUUGACGCUGAUGGACGAAAGCGUGGGGAGCGAACAGGAUUAGAUACCCCUGUAGUCC